rnacentral:rRNA from 1 species
GAUGAACGCUGGCGGCGUGCCUAAUACAUGCAAGUCGAGCGAAUGGAUUAAGAGCUUGCUCUUAUGAAGUUAGCGGCGGACGGGUGAGUAACACGUGGGUAACCUGCCCAUAAGACUGGGAUAACUCCGGGAAACCGGGGCUAAUACCGGAUAACAUUUUGAACCGCAUGGUUCGAAAUUGAAAGGCGGCUUCGGCUGGCACUUAUGGAUGGACCCGCGUCGCAUUAGCUAGUUGGUGAGGUAACGGCUCACCAAGGCAACGAUGCGUAGCCGGCCUGAGACGGUGAUCGGCCACACUGGGACUGAGACACGGCCCAGACACCUACGGGAGGCAGCAGUAGGGAAUCUUCCGCAAUGGACGAAAGUCUGACGGAGCAACGCCGCGUGAGUGAUGAAGGCUUUCGGGUCGUAAAACUCUGUUGUUAGGGAAGAACAAGUGCUAGUUGAAUAAGCUGGCACCUUGACGGUACCUAACCAGAAAGCCACGGCUAACUACGUGCCAGCCGCCGCCGUAA